GCCAUAGGGACCAUGCGGGGAGCUAGAGGGAAGACAGCUGAUCAUCAUUAGGAGGUGAAGGCGAUCCUCAUAUGCAGACAGUCAAGACCCCCACAUGGGUCUGAUUUCAUCCGGCCCCAGCUCUCCUGCCGGGCUCAGCCGCACCAACAUGGACCAGCAGGGUCCGUGCAGCCCAGGCCUGAGCGCUCGCCUUUCCUGCCACCGGUUCCUGGCCGGGCUGACCCGAGGAGGACAAAUGACCCGCCAGCCAGGGAGGAACUGCUCGCACCAGUCCCUGGACCACCUGCCGGAGACGGAAAAGCUGUUCUCCCGGGUCAGACGCUGAAUCAGUCCUGCUGGUGGGAUGAGGU